UACGGCCCACCAAGGCUUACGAUCAGUAUGGGUUUUCUGAGAGGAAGGUCCCCCACAUUGGUACUGAGACACGGUCCCGACUCCUACGGGAGUCGGCAGUGAGGAAUAUUGGUCAAUGGGCGAGAGCCUGAACCAGCCAAGUAGCGUGCAGGAUGACGGCCCUAUGGGUUGUAAACUGCUUUUAUGUGGGGAUAAAGUGCGUGACGUGUCAUGCAUUGCAGGUACCACAUGAAUAAGGACCGGCUAAUUCCGUGCCAGCAGCCGCGGUAAUACGGAAGGUCCGGGCGUUAUCCGGAUUUAUUGGGUUUAAAGGGAGCGUAGGCUGUCUAUUAAGCGUGUUGUGAAAUUUACCGGCUCAACCGGUGGCUUGCAGCGCGAACUGGUCGACUUGAGUAUGCAGGAAGUAGGCGGAAUUCAUGGUGUAGCGGUGAAAUGCUUAGAUAUCAUGACGAACUCCGAUUGCGCAGGCAGCUUACUGUAGCAUAACUGACGCUGAUGCUCGAAAGUGCGGGUAUCAAACAGGAUUAGAUACCCUGGUAGUCCGCACGGUAAACGAUGGAUGCUCGCUAUUCGUCCUAUUUGGAUGAGUGGCCAAGUGAAAACAUUAAGCAUCCCACCUUGGGAUACG
rnacentral:rRNA from 1 species